GAGUCUAGCUAUAUACUAUAAACAAACCUCUUUGUGGGAGGGAACCCGAUCAUGGAGUCAAGAAUAAGCUACUAGGAGGACAACUCUGAGGUCAUUUGAAUUUUCAAGUAAGUGAGUUUGCAGAAUUUGCUACGCCAUACCUGGUAAACAUUUAAUAAGCGGAAGCUUCGGUCAAGAUAAUUUUUGGAGUUUUAUUUAGGUCAUUUUUAUUCCUCUCUAAUUAUAAACCAAUGACAUGAGCCAUCCCAAGUUUUAUUUGCUUUUUCUUGGAAAACCAGGACCAAAUAUCCAAAUCCUAUCAGAUUGAUCGACUCAUCCAUGAUGACCGGCCUGACUUGUUUCUCUUGGUAAAACACACGAGUAGAGCCUGCGUUGUGCUUUCCUUGUAAAUUUUGAUGCAUUAGGAUUUUGGUUUGCUUUAAAACUUGAAAAAUAAUCGGUUUUCCUAGAAUUAGAAUUUUUUUGAGCCACCUUUAGUUUAUUUCAUUCAAAAUCCCUAUCUCAUUUUGUGCCAAAGUUAGAACCUAAACUCAUUACCCCACAGUUGGAAUCGAUAUUGCUUCAUCUCAAUC
rnacentral:lncRNA from 1 species